rnacentral:rRNA from 1 species
CAGUAGCCGCGGUAAUACAGAGGGUGCGAGCGUUAAUCGGAUUUACUGGGCGUAAAGCGUGCGUAGGCGGCUUUUUAAGUCGGAUGUGAAAUCCCUGAGCUUAACUUAGGAAUUGAAUUCGAUACUGGGAAGCUAGAGUAUGGGAGAGGAUGGUAGAAUUCCAGGUGUAGCGGUGAAAUGCGUAGAGAUCUGGAGGAAUACCGAUGGCGAAGGCAGCCAUCUGGCCUAAUACUGACGCUGAGGUACGAAAGCAUGGGGAGCAAACAGGAUUAGAUACCCGAGUAGUCCCUGUCUCUUAUAC